CGGUAGCUGCCAUAGCCCUUCCAUGCAAACGCCAAGUUUCAGCUUCCGUUCGUGUCACCGUGUUCGUCGGAAAGAGAGAGGUGCAGGGAGGCAUCGUGCGAACAUCCGCGUCGCUCUCGAGCGCGGAGAAGGUCCUGGGCCCCGGUCAAACCUGUUGUAGUGAGCCAGCACCGUAGCGCGUGGGCAGUCCUGCCACAUGCUGAGUCCAGUGAGGUCACGAGGAUCUG
rnacentral:lncRNA from 7 species